AAGUGUAGAGUGACGAUCCUCUUUAAAUGAAAGAGACGGGGGAUAUCAUCUAAGAGGACAAUGUAUGUUCAAACAACCUCUUGUGCGAACUGCUGUUAAAAGCACGUGUGUUUCAGUUUGUGGGGUGACCUUCUGGAAUGGACUGAACAAUGACAUCAAACAGAGCCACAAUAUCAUUCAGUUCAAAAAUAGAUUAAAUAAAUCAUUACUUGACCAAUACAGAAAAGAAUAGACUGAAACAUAGGAAUGGAAUUGUAAUGUAAAGGUAUUGUUGUAUAAUGUUUUAUUGUUGUAAGUUAUUGUAAGACCUGAAAGAUUGUAUGCUGUAUUUGCAUAUCUAU